AGUCACUUCCGGCAGCUAGAGCAGCUACUGACUCUGUUUCAGCCAUCUUCGAUAAAGGCAAAAGGUAAGGGAAAGUUUCCAAGCUUUAGGAAGAAUUAUUUUUUUUUCAAGACGCUGUCUUCCGUACUUUCGUUAUUAAACAUACGACUCAAGUGAUCACCGGUAUAGACAGUGACAUCAGACAUCUUUAAUUAGCCCUACUCAAAAAUGGCGGCAACGAACGACUGAAGCUGGUGACUGUUUUGGGUGCUGGCCUUCUCUGUGGAACUGCUCUGGCGGUCAUCGUGCCUGAAGGAGUACAUGCCCUUUAUGAAGAUAUUCUUGAGGGAAAACACCACCAAGCGAGUGAAACACAUGAUGUGAUUGCAUCAGACAAAGCAGCAGAAAAAUCAGUUGUCCAUGAACAUGAGCACAGCCACGACCACACACAGCUGCAUGCCUAUAUUGGUGUUUCCCUCGUACUGGGCUUCGUUUUCAUGUUGCUGGUGGACCAGAUUGGUAACUCCCAUGUGCAUUCUACUGACGAUCCAGAAGCAGCAAGGUCCAGCAAUUCCAAAAUCACCACCACGCUGGGUCUGGUCGUCCAUGCUGCAGCCGAUGGUGUUGCUUUGGGAGCAGCAGCGUCUACUUCACAGACUAGUGUCCAGUUAAUUGUGUUUGUGGCAAUCAUGCUACAUAAGGCACCAGCUGCUUUUGGACUGGUUUCCUUCUUGAUGCAUGCUGGCUUAGAGCGGAAUCGAAUCAGAAAGCACUUGCUGGUCUUUGCACUGGCAGCACCAGUUAUGUCCAUGGUGACAUACUUAGGACUGAGUAAGAGCAGUAAAGAAGCCCUUUCAGAGGUGAACGCCACGGGAGUGGCCAUGCUUUUCUCUGCCGGGACAUUUCUUUAUGUUGCCACAGUACAUGUCCUCCCUGAGGUGGGCGGAAUAGGGCACAGCCACAAGCUCGAUGCCACGGGAGGGAGAGGCCUCAGCCGCCUGGAAGUGGCAGCCCUGGUUCUGGGUUGCCUCAUCCCUCUCAUCCUGUCAGUAGGACACCAGCAUUAAAUGUUCAAGGUCCAGCCUUGGUCCAGGGCCAUUUGCCAUCCAGUGAGAACAGCCGGCGCGUGACAGCUACUCACUUCCUCAGUCUCUUGUCUCGCCUUGCGCAUCUCCACAUGUAUUCCUAGAGUCCAGAGGGGAGGUGAGGUUAAAACCUGAGUAAUGGAAAAGCUUUUAGAGUAGAAACACAUUUACGUUGCAGUUAGUUAUAGACAUCCCAUUGUGUUAUCUUUUAAAAGGCCCUUGACGUUUUGAGUUUUAAUGUUUCUCUUAACCCUAUUCUCAGGGAAGAUGGAAUUUAGUUUUAAGGAAAAGAGGAGAACUUCAUACUCACAAUGAAAUAGUGAUUAUGAAAAUACAGUGUUCUGUAAUUAAGCUAUGUCUCUUCUUAGUUUAGAGGCUCUGCCACUUUAUCUAUUGAUUUUUAACAUGGUUCCCACCAUGUAAGACUGGUGCUUUAGCAUCUAUGCCACAUGCGUUGAUGGAG
rnacentral:sRNA from 1 species